AUGAACUUUGGGGGACAGAUUCAAACCAUAGCAUUUAGCUAGAUUGAGAAAGGAAGGACCUGGAUGUAGAUAUCAUGAGGCAUUCUUUCUCUCUUUUCCCUCUCUACCACACCAGGAAUUUUAAAGGCAUAGAAAUGCUAAAGUUUCCUACCCUUGAACCUCAAAGAUCCCCUGAUGAUGCAGCUGCAGGCAUCCUGGAUAACAAUCCAUGAGCAAGACAAGAAAACCAUGGCCAAUUGCUGAUCCCACGUGUGUACUAACUAUCCUGUAAGUAAAACUUUGGAAAAGAAAAGAAGGCUAGUGCAGCUAGAGCAUACUAAUGUGAUGGAGACAAGUACUGGGCAAAUAAUUCACACAGGAAAGUGGCCCCUCACUGACUGUCAAAAUAUAUGAUAUCAUGGAAAAAGCAUGGCUAUGCAGGAGUCAAUCCAGAGAUGAAGAACCUGGACACACCACCAUGGGCCAUAGGACAUCUGAAGAGUUCAGUUUCCUCAUCAAUAAAAUUGAGAUAAUAAUUUCUUCCUCUUAGGGUCAUUGCGAAGAAAUCAAGCAUAUAACUUGAAAAUAGGAAUCUUUCUUACUCCUCCCCCGCUUGCCUUAAGAAAAAUGAACAGCAUAGAAGAAGCAAAGCCUGUUUACAACUUAGGCUCUCUCUAAGUAUCUACAGACUGUGACAUUUUGAGAGAAGUUUACAGCAUAACAAGCAAGAUGUUUCCAAAUCAGGUCUGCUGCAUUCCUCUUCCAAAAUCAUACAACUCGAAAUCUUCUGUUGCCUGAAACUAUAAAAUUGUGUUCAUUGUUAUCCACAAUAUUUCUUUAACCUGACAUAAACCUUUCUUUCCAUUUUUUUUUGUUGUUGUUCUCUGGGCUGAGCUGUUGUGUUAAAAAGUUGAUUGAGAAAUAAAUUGCCUUGAGAAGCAAUGAGCAAUCAGAAGUAACUGGAUUUCCAAGGUCACAAUGGGGCAUGACGUGCCCAGACCGCAAAGGGGCAGUGUGGAGCAGGAUUUGUUAUUUCACAAUUAACUAGAUGUGAGAAGACACCAACCUGAUACUGUAUUAUCUCAUUUGCUGCUGAUUCAAGAAUGGAAUGAUAUCAAAAAUGAGUUCUAAAAGAAACAGCACAUCAGAGUUGGAUGUAAUUCCCCUGCUGAGAAGCUGAGCCUCUGCUAUAAUAAAAGCUCCUACAAUGACAGCUGCUCAUUUCUGCUGGUCCAGGGCUGUUAUCCUUUAUUUUUUGUUAAUGAUGACUGUGAUGUGCUCGGCACCUCUACCAGGUGGAUUUUUCUAGAAUGUAUGAUCCAUUCUUCUCUUGAAGAAAUGAGGAAGAAGAGCUAAGAGUAUGAUGUUGUUCUAGUAACAGAAAACAGGGCAAGGGUCUUACAGAGUUCAUGACUUGAAGCCCAAAAUCUGGAAAAGUAAUCAUUUCCCUGUCUUCACUUCUUUUUGACCCCAGAAACCUAAGCAUUUAGUUCAAAGAUGAGACGUGACUCAAAUUAUCAAGUUUAAUCUUCAAGGGACUGUUUUCUCCUAUUCUCCAAGCAGCAACUCUGGAGUCAGACAUGUCUGCAUGCCAAGUAAGAGUACCCCUACUGACUCACUUUAUGAACCUCACUGAAUCCCCAACUCCAUGCUUGCAAAAUGAAGAAAACACGACGAGUGAAUAAAACACAAGGAAGAUUUCUCAGAGGGCUAGGGUCUGGAAGACAUUACAUUGACCACAUGCUUUACCCUUUAUUGGGAACAGGAAACCUCUGCUCAUCCGUAACCAAUAGACAGCAGCAGGAAGUCAUGAUGAUAUAUCUUCAGACAUCACAACUCUUCAUUUGCUAAUUAUCAGAACCCAAGGUCAACUUUUUUUCAUAAUUAAAAAAUGUUCA
rnacentral:lncRNA from 1 species